GACUACCAAGUUGGUCGAGCAUGACCUCCCCCUGGUGAACCCAUGCCGACUACUCCUGAUAUCCUUCUCUUCCAAUUACCUGGAGAUGGCAUCCUGAACAAGCUGUUUCAUCACCUUUCCAGGGACAGAGUCUUCAGGCACCUCUCCCAUUCUCCAAGACCUCUCAAAGGUGAUAGAGAGCAGUUCAGCAAUAACCUCUGCCAGUUCCCUCAGCACAUGUGGAUGCAUGCCAUUGUGUCCCACGGAUUUAUGCACAAUGAUGUUGCCUGGAUGCUCCUGGACCAUCUCCUUCCUCACCAAAGGGGAACCUUCAAUUCCUAAGACUCUCUCACUUACCUCCAUGGUUCAAGAUUCCUGAGGGGAAGUCUUUGCUGUAAAGACCAAAGCAAAGAAAGCAUUCAGUAUCUCCACCAUCUCGGCAUCCCCCAUUACCAGAACACGAAGACACAUCCUUUCUUUUAAGAAAACAUGUGAUUCUUUAACAGUAAGGGAAGCGUCAUCUUUCUACUUUAACAUCUUGGCUAACUUCCUUUGUAACCUAUAGAAUUCUCAAUAUUUGUGAUGAAGUAAACCCUGGGAGUCUGCUUCCAGUGUAAAGAUUUAUCUCUGGAAUAAGAAGUCAUGUGCCAGUCUUCAGUUAGUCUUCUGCCAGUUUGAUAGCACCUGGAUUCUGACAGGAGCAGUAACAUUUUGUCCUGUCAGGAGAAGUAGUGCAUGACCCUUUGGACUACUGAGUUAUAGUUAGCAGUUUUGAAUUCAGGAAAUACACAUACACCAGAACUGAAAUAUCUCACAAAUGCUGCAUUAAAAAUGUGCCAUAUUCUGUGAAGUGGUAUGUGAAUGGAUACUGAGCUGAAUGCACAUCACAAAACUGGAUGGAACUGCUUAAACUGCAUCUUUUAUGAGAGUGCAAGAGAUCAGGACAUUUCCUUUCAAGGAAUAAGUUCUUUUUUUUAAUUCAUGUUUCAGUUAAGAUAUUUUUGUACAUGAUGAGUACAUAUUUGUCUUCGUGCAAAUACUACUAAACCUAUUAUAAACUGUUCUUAAAAAAUUCAAAUCAAAUCACUGAGUACUGUUAUAAAAAUCCAGUAAAAGAAAGUAGGAAAUUCAAUACAAAAGAUUUUUUUCUUCAGAGGAUUCUGUUUUUGCAAUGGUUACAGAUAUGGAUUCUUAAUGACUUGCAUGGGAUAUUGAUUCAAAUUUCCUUAAACAUAGCAGGCAAAAAGCAAUUACAUUAAUGAAAAUUAAAUUUAAACACCAUGACUCUUACUGCCAAUGGGUGGAAACUUUAAUACAGCAAAGCAGAAAGUACAUCAUCUUUAGCUUUUCCAAAUUUGUCAAGUGUAAAAUUGGCAUUUGUUGCUGCUUUUGCAUGUCGAGGCAGAGGUAAUUGCAAUAGUUUGCUGGGGGUACUAUAGUAAAUAGUGAAAUUAAAAUUUCAGGAAACUUUCAUAGCUUUGCCAGUAGGUAGCUGUUUACAAAUAUAUGGACAACUUUAAAGGAAUUUAAUCUCUUCUAUUAAAAAUAGAAGCCCACAAGCUAAUGAGGUGCUUUGCUUGCCUUUCUAGUGUGGGUAAUUACUUGUUCUUGUACACUCUUCAUGUUUGAUAGCUUGUGUCUCCUUUAA